rnacentral:lncRNA from 1 species
GGAGACACUGAACCCAAGGGGAGGAGGGCAAGAAGAAAAGAAAACAAUUUGGUCUCUUCUGGGGAGAAGUUACACAGAGUGUCCUGAAAACAGAGACCUUUUAUCUAGUCAAGAUAGGAUUUGAGAGUGGAAAUAUGAAGCCUUUUAGGUGUGGCUCUGGUCCUGGAGCCAGUGGAGGGCUUCCUGGGGUGCUGCUGCUCAACUGAGACUGAGCCCAGGUGUGUGGAGCGGUCUCAUUGGCAGCCAGGUGUUGUAGGAGGGAAAGUGUGUCUUGGUGACAAGUUUCUGAAGAAGAGCUGCAGAGGAGGAGAUUGUCUACAUACUGUAUGAGAUGAGAGGAAGAUGGGUGAAAGAAGAGUAAAUCAUCCCCAAGGACCUAACCAGAACAGUGGGGACUGUCCCAAAAGCCCUGAGAGCUCUAUGUGUCAGAAGCAAGUGGCCAAGUCAAUCCCCAUUUCAAGGAGGAAAGAAUGAAGCCUCUUCCCAGAGGGCAGAGCAUCAAAGAAUUGACACCCAGAUGUUAGAACCACCACAGCAACGACCGCACAUUUGUGGGAGAUGCCUUGAUGUUACACAGAUAUCCCGUUUCAU